rnacentral:rRNA from 1 species
CAAUAGCGUAUAUUAAAGUUGUUGCAGUUAAAAAGCUCGUAGUUGAAUUUCUGUCAGGAGUGACCGGGCCUUUGGAUGAACUUCCAUUGUUUUUUGCUCUGUUUGUCAUCUCUAGACAUCCUAAAUUAUUUUUUAUAAAUAAUUUUCUUUUACUGUUAGCAAAAUAGAGUGUUCCAAGCAAAGCGUAGUUUUGAAUACAUUAGAAUGGAAUAAUAAGAUAGGACUUUGGUGCUAUUUUGUUGGUUUGCACACCAAGGUAAUGAUUAAUAGGGACAGUUGGGGGUAUUCGUAUUUAAUUGUCAGAGGUGAAAUUCUUGGAUUUAUGAAAGACGAACUACUGCGAAAGCAUUUACCAAGGAUGUUUUCAUUAA